GCCGUCAAUGGAAGGUCCCAGACUCUCCCCACCAUGCCCCUGCCCACGCGUCCCCACUCCUGCGCUGAUAUCUCGCACCCGUAGACACCGCCACAGCACCCCGGCCCGCCGCGCGAUCUCCAGCCCCCGCCCCAUGCGCCUUCGUCAAACCCCUCCGCCGCGGUAAUGCAGGCUUGAGAUCGAGCAGAUCCGCCAUCCCGCGCCCUCGCUCUCGCUCUCGCCCCGACACGCAUUCACCCUGGCCCCGCUGCCCUGCGCCGCCAUACCCUCGCCCCAUCCUUCCCUGCCCCCGCACCGCAUCCAACACGCAGAUCCAGCGCCGUCGCCGCGAGCAUACAGAGGCACCGCGCGGACACGACGACGUCGCGUGCUGUGGUGAAGGAGGUCGCCCUGAACUGGUUGGCUACAAAGGCGACAAGGUGGGUGGUGUCGCGGAACUCCACGAGCAGGCCCACGAGCGCCGGGAGCGAGCGCGCGCACUCCUCAGUCAUGAGGCCCACGACGCCUCACCUUCCUCAAGCUCCACGGCGUCCUCACCCUCGCGAGCUAGCAACGCCUUCCUCUCCGUCGUCCGUGUGCAUCUCCAUGACGCUUAUGGAUGUGUACGCCAAGACCAGCCGGCUCGAGCUGGUCCUGCAGGUGCUCGGCGAAAUGCCUAGCAGGAACGUGGUCUCGCGGACCAUGCUUGCCGCCUCGCUGGUAAGUUUCUAUACAACAAGCAGCAAAUGUAUUACUAACCUUGCACUUAGACAGGUUUGCGUGAGCAGUGAUGCAUAUUGGAUCUAUCCUAGAUUUCUCAAAAUACGAGAUUUGACUCCGCCCAUUUUCAACCGUAUCGGUGAAGAUAGGGACAAGAGCUGACUUGAGGAAGAUGAUGGAUUUUGGAUGCUUGAACGAACGGUGGAAAAAAUCGGGUACAAGUGGCUUCAAAAACACACGAGUACAUUCUCUAUUCCUUUAUUUUUAAGGACUAGGCAUAAUCUGCCGCACGACACAAUAUACCAAACUGCACAAAACUGAAGCAUUCCAUUAGUUCACAUGUUUGAUUAGGGUAGGGCAAGUGCAAUUAGUAACGAAAACAACACGACAUUGUAAAAGGACCAUUGUCGCAAAAAGUAUUUAUUCUUCAGCAUUGAUUACAAAUCAAGCCAGCUAAAUAACAAGUUUCAGAAACUUGCAACAACGCUUCAAAAUAUCUGUAGGAAGGACUGUCGCCAUGGCACGCCAGCCCUUUAUUCAUCCGAUUCUGUGCGGACAGCUGCAGAAAUAACCAUGUUAAUGUGUAUUUCGCAUGUUUGUUAUGUUGGACACUGAAGUUUUCCAUUAUGUAGAUCAUUGUGUCUGAAUAUUUUGUUUUUUCAUGUAGAGCACUAAAGCUACAAUGUUUUUAUUGGGCCCUGAUCAUACCUAUGCUCUGUUUAGCCAGUGAUUUUGUGAGACCAUUAUCCAAAAAUUGUUGCCUGGCUACGGUCGAUAUAUAUAUAUAGUCUUAUUUUCCGUUUUGCAUUCUGUCUGGUUCUGUAUAUAUUCUAUUUAGAAAACACUGGCUAUUUUCCGUUUUGCUCUGUUUAGUCAAUCAAUUUAACUGUUGUAAAAGAUGCAGUGAUUUCUAUGAACACAAUUUUUGGAUGAACACAUUAUAUUUACCUGUAGCAGUUGUCACAGGAGAAUUUAUCCUCUGUGUUUUAAGUUACAAGUGUCCAGUCAGAAAAUACAUUAUAAAUAGAAAUCACUGGAACUCAUAGCAGUAGCCCUGGCACACUUAAUCACCAUAAAAAUUGGAUGAACACAAUGGAACUCAUAGCAGUGCUGAAAGGGAAAUGUGCCCUUGGGACAUUUCUAAAUAUUUUGGUGAUUGAGUGCCAACUCAAGUGCUUAAAAUGUGAAUUUAUGCAAUGGAUGAACAAAGUGCAAAUCAAGAGCAAAGGUAUGUUUCUAAGUCUUAGUACAUUGGUUUUGUGUACUAAUAUAUUUGUCUAAGUGGUAGAAACAGAAA